rnacentral:rRNA from 1 species
GCUGGCGGCGUGCUUAACACAUGCAAGUCGAACGGAAAGGCCCUGCUUUUGUGGGGUGCUCGAGUGGCGAACGGGUGAGUAACACGUGAGUAACCUGCCCUUGACUUUGGGAUAACUUCAGGAAACUGGGGCUAAUACCGGAUAGGAGCUCCUGCUGCAUGGUGGGGGUUGGAAAGUUUCGGCGGUUGGGGAUGGACUCGCGGCUUAUCAGCUUGUUGGUGGGGUAGUGGCUUACCAAGGCUUUGACGGGUAGCCGGCCUGAGAGGGUGACCGGCCACAUUGGGACUGAGAUACGGCCCAGACUCCUACGGGAGGCAGCAGUGGGGAAUAUUGCACAAUGGGCGGAAGCCUGAUGCAGCAACGCCGCGUGCGGGAUGACGGCCUUCGGGUUGUAAACCGCUUUCGCCUGUGACGAAGCGUGAGUGACGGUAAUGGGUAAAGAAGCACCGGCUAACUACGUGCCAGCAGCCGCGGUGAUACGUAGGGUGCGAGCGUUGUCCGGAUUUAUUGGGCGUAAAGGGCUCGUAGGUGGUUGAUCGCGUCGGAAGUGUAAUCUUGGGGCUUAACCCUGAGCGUGCUUUCGAUACGGGUUGACUUGAGGAAGGUAGGGGAGAAUGGAAUUCCUGGUGGAGCGGUGGAAUGCGCAGAUAUCAGGAGGAACACCAGUGGCGAAGGCGGUUCUCUGGGCCUUUCCUGACGCUGAGGAGCGAAAGCGUGGGGAGCGAACAGGCUUAGAUACCCUGGUAGUCCACGCUGUAAACGGUGGGUACUAGGUGUGGGGUCCAUUCCACGGGUUCCGUGCCGUAGCUAACGCUUUAAGUACCCCGCCUGGGGAGUACGGCCGCAAGGCUAAAACUCAAAGGAAUUGACGGGGCCCCGCACAAGCGGCGGAGCAUGCGGAUUAAUUCGAUGCAACGCGUAGAACCUUACCUGGGUUUGACAUGGAUCGGGAGUGCUCAGAGAUGGGUGUGCCUCUUUUGGGGUCGGUUCACAGGUGGUGCAUGGCUGUCGUCAGCUCGUGUCGUGAGAUGUUGGGUUAAGUCCCGCAACGAGCGCAACCCUUGUUCACUGUUGCCAGCACGUUAUGGUGGGGACUCAGUGGAGACCGCCGGGGUCAACUCGGAGGAAGGUGGGGAUGACGUCAAGUCAUCAUGCCCCUUAUGUCCAGGGCUUCACGCAUGCUACAAUGGCUGGUACAGAGAGUGGCGAGCCUGUGAGGGUGAGCGAAUCUCGGAAAGCCGGUCUCAGUUCGGAUUGGGGUCUGCAACUCGACCUCAUGAAGUCGGAGUCGCUAGUAAUCGCAGAUCAGCAACGCUGCGGUGAAUACGUUCCCGGGGCUUGUACACACCGCCCGUCAAGUCAUGAAAGUUGGUAACACCCGAAGCCGGUGGCCUAACCGUUGUGGGGGAGCCGUCGAAGGUGGGACUGGUGAUUAGGA